rnacentral:rRNA from 1 species
UGGGGAAUAUUGGACAAUGGGCGCAAGCCUGAUCCAGCCAUGCCGCGUGAGUGAAGAAGGCCUUCGGGUUGUAAAGCUCUUUCGGCGGGGAMGAAAAGGAUCCGUGUUAAUACCUCUGCUCCCUGACGGUACCCGCAGAAGAAGCACCGGCUAACUCCAUGCCAGCAGCCGCGGUAAUUA